UGAGUAGCACAGAUGGUCGCACCUAUAUAGGUGAGGAAAGUCCGGGCUUCAUAGGGCAGGGUGCCGGAUAACGUCCGGUGGAGGCGACUCCGAGGCUAGUGCAACAGAAAUAUACCGCCAUAGCAGGGACCUCCUUGCUGUGGUAAGGAUGGAAAGGUGGCUUAAGAGACCAC
rnacentral:RNase_P_RNA from 1 species